rnacentral:rRNA from 1 species
CAGUAGCCGCGGGAAUACGGAGGGGGCUAGCGUUAUUCGGAAUUACUGGGCGUAAAGCGCACGUAGGCGGCUUCGCAAGUCAGAGGUGAAAGCCUGGGGCUCAACUCCAGAAUUGCCUUUGAGACUGCGUCGCUCGAAUCCGGGAGAGGUGAGUGGAAUUCCGAGUGUAGAGGUGAAAUUCGUAGAUAUUCGGAAGAACACCAGUGGCGAAGGCGGCUCACUGGACCGGUAUUGACGCUGAGGUGCGAAAGCGUGGGGAGCAAACAGGAUUAGAUACCCCUGUAGUCCCUGUCUCUUAUAC